GACUUCUGGGCUCUGCUCCAGACAACACCCGGCCAUGGGCAACAGGGCCCACCGCCCUGGGCGCGCCGCCGCCUCGGCCACUCUGAGUCGGCUCCGAGCGCGCACGCGCGCCGUGCACCUGCCCCAUCGCGCCCAGCUGCUGCCUGCCUGUUCUUCCAGCAGCUCAGGGCACGCCCGCGCUGUGCCGGCGGGGAGUGUCCGUCACUCUCAGCGCUCAGGAUCUCUCCCUUUCCAGGACCGCUAGGAAGCAGGAAACCCUUUUCCUCUCACGUUUACAUCCCAUUCAUUCUUCCUCCGGGCAAUUCAAGUCCAUUCACAGCCGCCACAGAUGCACGUGUGCACGCGCGCAGCUGCACCUUUAAAGAAACUCUCAAGUCCUGGCGGCCAGAAAACCAGCUUUCAGGCGGGGCGGUGGGGCUCCCCCUCCCCUUGCUUCGUCUCUGCAGAUCUUUGUGCUCUAGGGAGGGAUGGCCGCACAUUCUGACGAGCUCGAGGGUGGUGCAUAACGCGGAGGUCAAUUUUGCACAGUCCAGGCAAAAGAGACCCCCCCCCCGACCAACAUCCCUUCCUGUUCAGUUUCCCUCUCUGGCCCAGCGCGAAGGGCGAGGGGCGACAGAAGCCCGAGGGACAGAAAACCGAGGCUCCUCAGUGGCCGAGUUGGGAGAGGGUGUGAGUUCAGGAGAGCCCGGGGGCAGCAGGGAGAGGGUGCAGAAGCUCGAGCGCACCGAACCAGAGGCCCCCUCUUCUCCCGCCGCGCGGGGCUGGAGGUGCAGGCGCCAGUUCCGCGGCGCGGCCCGGCUAUGUGUCGCUCCUCCGCGCGCCGCCCGCCGCAGCCCUUGCCCUCGGGCCGCCGCCGCCGCCGCUGCCCCCCGUCGAGCCCGCGGCCGCACCCUCGGGCCGAUACUUGAGCCAGCAGAUGACCCAGGUGACAACGACCGAGAAGAGUGCCAGGAUGCUGGCCACCGACAGGCAGAUGGGCCCCACGGGCGAGGGCGAGGGCGACCCGGUGGCCGGUGCCUCGCCAGGGGGCGCCCCGCCUCCGGGGGUUCCCCCGCCGCCGUAGUGGUUGACGAAGAUGAGGCCGGUGAAGAGCAGCACCACCAUGGAGAGGAAGGAGAAGACCACGCACACGCAGCCGGCGAUUCUCUGCAGAAGACAGCAAGAUGCCCCCAGGGAAUGUUUGUGAAAAAGGAUGACUGGAUGGGAAGCAAGCUGAAGAAAAAGAGGGAAAGAAAGAGAGAAAUCAGUAAAUCACCACACAAGAGGUGGAGAAGAGGACUUAUAAAUAUUGUUUCUAUGACAUUUGAAAAUAAAUGUUUUACUCCAUGCUAAUAGUGAAUGUGGUGUCUUCAGUUUGAAGGGCUUUAAGUGAAGCUCAUUAAAACCCACUAUUUUCUAUUUCCUAGUUUUUAAUUUUGUAAUUAUUACUUGGGGUAAUAACAUUCUUUCAAUUUUUUAAGCAUUUCACUUAGUGAUGGGGUGGUGAUCAGAGAGGGUGGCUUGAGGGGACAUCCUGAGAAGGCCUUAGUCUGGCCUUGGAAUAUUACAAAGUGACACUAACCUAACUAUAGGAAGUGGCUUUCUGUCCUCUUUCCCUCAUUUAGUUGUAUGAUUGGGAAAAGCCUGAAAAUGCUCAUUUAUGCAGUGUUAAACUGGGUUCUUGUGCUUUAAGCCUUGAGUAGCUGUGUGCUGAGAAGAGACGUAAUGCUGAUGUAGGACAUAUUUAAAACAGAGUAUCUGGGAGAAGAGAAGCACAUGAACAGGAGGGCUAGUGUGGCCUCCAUACCAAGUGACUAAAAAUAGUUCUGAAGGUCUAUAUGUUUGAAUAUGGUGUGCAUAUGGGCAAAACUCUUAAGAUUUUGAAGCUUCACUUUAUUAUGCAUUCUCACCAUUGAAUGACAGACUUGAGGAACAGAGUAUAGGAUGACACUGGGGUUUCUCAAGCUCAGCAUAAUUGACAUUUGGAGCUGGAUAAGUCUUUGAUGUGGGGCUGUUCUGGGCACUGUUCAAUGUUUAGCAGCAUCUCUGGCCUCUACGCACUUGAUGUCAGUAACACCUCUCCCCAGUUGUGACAACCAAAAAUGUCUCUGGUUGAGGACCAUGGAGCUAACCACAAAGUCACAGAUUUGGUUAAAGUGAAACCAAAACCAGUAAUAUCUUACAGCUCCUAACUAGUGUAAGAUAGCAUUCUCAAAGAAUUUAAUGACUACAGGCAUUUCUUCCCUAGCUCAUGGUCAUUUAGAUAAUACUGAACUCUCUUUGAGAGGUCCAGUACAGCUUUUGUCAAUAACACAUCCUGUUGAUGGAGUCAUAAACAAUUGCGAGAAUUUGGUUAACCAUGGUAAAAUUUACUGUCUGAGUUUGGAUAGGUUUUUCAGAGGAGCCCAAAUCUUCAAUUAUUUUAUAUCCUAGAGUCAAUCAUUCAUUUUUAGGACUCAUAAAAAUGCCAUGUGGGGCUUCUGUAGGUACAGGGAGGAGGCGUGACAUUGCUAAAGAGUUUGUGUGACACAGGCCAUAG
rnacentral:lncRNA from 1 species